rnacentral:rRNA from 1 species
UACGGAGGGUGCAAGCGUUGUUCGGAAUCACUGGGCUUAAAGGGCGCGUAGGCGGGUUCGCAAGUCUGUGGUGAAAUCCUCCGGCUCAACCGGAGAACUGCCUCGGAUACUGCGGGUCUCGAGGGUGAUAGGGGUAUGCGGAACUAUCGGUGGAGCGGUGAAAUGCGUUGAUAUCGAUAGGAACUCCGGUGGCGAAGGCGGCAUACUGGAUCACUUCUGACGCUGAGGCGCGAAAGCCAGGGGAGCAAACGGG